UACAGAGGGUGCGAGCGUUGUUCGGAAUUAUUGGGCGUAAAGGGCGCGUAGGCGGUGCGGUAAGUCACCUGUGAAAUCUCCUGGCUCAACUGGGAGCUUGCAGGCGAAACUGCCGUGCUGGAGUGUGGGAGAGGUGCGUGGAAUUCCUGGUGUAGCGGUGAAAUGCGUAGAUAUCGGGAGGAACACCAGUGGCGAAGGCGGCGACCUGGACGGACACUGACGCUGAGACGCGAAAGCGUGGGGAGCAAACAGG
rnacentral:rRNA from 1 species